UCCCUCCUGGAGCUCAGAGAGCCCGGCACAGGGCCAGCCCCUUCCAUGCCAGGGCCCUGUGGACUUCCCCAUCCGGGAGCAGCAGCCGCUGGAGACCCUUGGCCCAAACUUAACCCUUCCCUCUGGGCAUCGAGCAUCCCCUUCCCUCUGCCCUUGGGCUGCCGGGCCAGAGGUGGAGCAGGUCUGCAGCAGGCAGUAUUUCUAGAGGAAGCAUUUUUUUCAAAGAAGAUUUAAAGAGAGAAUGAGAGUCCAGGACAGCUUCUGCCAAGCUCAUCUCAUCCCAAAGCUCAAAGCACUGCCCGAGGCAGCAGAGGAAGUGCAGGGCCGAGGCCUUCCCAGCCUUCUAUCUGCAGCCGAACAGGGACCCAGGAGCAGCCGUGCUCAGCUCGGGCUGCACACAGCACCAGCUGAGGACGUGAACAGCUGCUGGGACAGCAAUGCCCCGAUCUUAGGGGUCGGGUCGGCUUCAC